GGUAGGAGGAUGAUGGCUACAACAUGAUUUUAUUCAUGUUGGCUAUUACUUGAAAGUGCUGUGACAGGAAAGUAGGAUAAUGAGAGAAAGGGAAGACAUGGAGCGAAGGUCAGCAGGCCGGGAAUCGAACCUGCGACGUCCGCAUCGAGGACUAAGGCCUCCUUAUGUGGGUUGUGCUUAACCCCUGAGCCACCACAACUGCCACAUUUUUUAAUCUAAAAGCAUGGAAGAAAAAGCAAAUCGACUUCAAGAAUCAACCAUAUUGGAGAUUGGUUAUACUGACGUCAAAAUAAUCGUCAUCAGCAUCUGUCUUAAAUAAAACUUCAUCGCUGGAGCCUUCUAGAAUAAUAAGGCGUGACGGAUUU